rnacentral:rRNA from 1 species
UACAGAGGGGCCAGCGUUAUUCGGAAUUAUUGGGCGUAAAGAGCGUGUAGGCGGUUUGGUAGGUCCGUUGUGAAAACUCGAGGCUCAACCUCGAGACGCCGAUGGAAACCAUCAGACUAGAGUCCGGAAGAGGAGAGUGGAAUUCCUGGUGUAGCGGUGAAAUGCGCAGAUAUCAGGAAGAACACCCGUGGCUAAGGCGGCUCUCUAGUACGGUACUGACGCUGAGACGCGAAAGCGUGGGGAGCGAACAGG